GCAUGAUGUGGGACACCUGGUCGCCCGGCGCCUGGUACGCGCCGGAUGAUUUCAACGAAGCGGCGCGCGCGUUCGACAACCCCGAUUGGGCC
rnacentral:tRNA from 2 species